rnacentral:rRNA from 1 species
AUUGAACGCUGGCGGCAGGCCUAACACAUGCAAGUCGAACGAGUGGCGGACGGGUGAGUGAUGUCUGGGAAACUGCCUGAUGGAGGGGGAUAACUACUGGAAACGGUAGCUAAUACCGCAUAACAUCAGAUGGGCCCAGAUGGGAUGAGCGAGUUGGUGGGGGAAAGGCUACCAAAGGCGACGAUCCCUAGCUGGUCUGAGAGGAUGAUCAGCCACACUGGAACUGAGACACGGUCCAGACUCCUACGGGAGGCAGCAGUGGGGAAUAUUGUACAAUGGGCGCAAGCCUGAUGCAGCCAUGCCGCGUGUAUGAAGAAGGCUUUCGGGUUGUAAAGUACUUUCAGCGGGGAGGCGUUACCCGCAGAAGAAGCACCGGCUAACUCCGUGCCAGCAGCCGCGGUAAUUC